rnacentral:piRNA from 1 species
UGCAGAUGAUGCAUAAAGAGAUGAGAAAGA